rnacentral:rRNA from 1 species
AUGUAUCUACUUAUUGUCUUUUUGCCUUUGCUCGGUAGUUCCAUAGCCGGUUUUUUCGGACGUUUUCUAGGAUCUGAAGGAACCGCUAUAAUGACCACCACGUGCGUUUCAUUUUCUUUGAUCUUAUCUUUGAUUGCUUUUUAUGAAGUCGCACUGGGAGCUAGUGCUUGCUAUCUCAGAAUAGCUCCAUGGAUCUCAUCGAAAAUGUUUGAUGCUUCUUGGGGCUUCUUUGGCGACCGUGAAGGAGGCUGGCCUGCACACCAUACCUAUACCCAUAUAGUGCCAGGUAGGCGGUGGACUCAUUUUUGGAUUAGGGAAGGGAAGAAGGGGCCUAAGCACGGCAGAUGCCGUACACUUGAGUGGCAAAGGAAAGCGAGACCGUACUUCUUUUGCCAAGCCUGUUCUUACAUAAGGUUCCCACAGAAGAUCAAGUUGGCGAGUCGUGUGAUGGGAAACCUUCCCGCACGCCUGACCGUAGUCAUGUUAAUUGGGGUUACAUUCAUAAGUAGUUUGGUCCAUCUUUAUUCCAUUUCAUAUAUGUCUGAGGAUCCGCAUAGCCCUUGA